rnacentral:rRNA from 1 species
UCUAACAUGUGCGCGAGUCAAUGGGAUUUGACCAAAUCCAGAGGCGCGGUGAAAGCAUGGGGCGCGUCUGGCAUCAAGCUGCGGCGCGUCGCUAAAGAGGACGGCCGGUCUCUCCUGGACGGGGUGCCCAGUCAGCACUCCCGGGGCGCCUCGGCUCUGGCAGCAGGCGCGCACGUUUGGACCCGAAAUAUGGUGAAUUAUGCCCGGCCAGGACGAAGUCAGGGAAAAACCUGAUUGAGGUCCGCAGUGAUUCUGACGUACAAAUUCAUCGUCUGAUCUAGGUAUAGGGGCGAAAAACUAAUCGAACCAUCCCAUAACUAGUUCCCUCCGAAUUUUCCCUCAGGAUAGCUGGCGCCGAGUUGGAGGGGGCUAGUCUCAUCAGGUAAAGCGAAUGAUUAGAGGCCUUGGGGAUGAACGAGCUCAGCUUAUUCUCAAAAUUUAAAUGGGUGAAAUAUCCGGCUUGCUUGAGUAAAGCUGCAAGAAAAAGAAGAGACAGACUUCUGCUUCCCACUGAAGAAUGAAAGUGCCAGGUAGGCCAAUUCUGGUAUGCAGAACUGGCGCUGUGGGAUGAACCAAACCGGACCUCAUGGGAGACCAUGAAAGGCA